rnacentral:rRNA from 1 species
UACGUAGGUGGCAAGCGUUGUCCGGAAUUAUUGGGCGUAAAGCGCGCGCAGGCGGUCCUUUAAGUCUGAUGUGAAAGCCCACGGCUCAACCGUGGAGGGUCAUUGGAAACUGGGGGACUUGAGUGCAGAAGAGGAGAGUGGAAUUCCACGUGUAGCGGUGAAAUGCGUAGAUAUCAGGAGGAACACCGAUGGCGAAGGCAGCUCACUGGGACGGUACUGACGCUGAGACGCGAAAGCGUGGGGAGCGAACAGG